rnacentral:rRNA from 1 species
GACAGAGGUGCCGAGCGUUUAGGCGGAAUCACUGGGCUUAAAGCGUGUGUAGGCGGACUUGUAAGUACCUUGUGAAAUCCCACAGCUCAACUGUGGAACUGCUUGGUAUACUGCUUGUCUUGAGCCACUUAGGGGCAGUCGGAACAGACGGUGGAGCGGUGAAAUGCGUAGAUAUCGUCUGGAACGCCAAAGGUGAAAACAGAACUGCUGGGAGUGUGCUGACGCUGAGACACGAAAGCCAGGGGAGCAAGCGGG